rnacentral:rRNA from 1 species
AUUGAACGCUGGCGGCAUGCCUUACGCAUGCAAGUCGAACGGUAACGCGGGGCAACCUGGCGACGAGUGGCGAACGGGUGAGUAAUACAUCGGAACGUGCCCAGUAGUGGGGGAUAGCCCGGCGAAAGCCGGAUUAAUACCGCAUACGACCUACGGGUGAAAGCGGGGGAUCGCAAGACCUCGCGCUAUUGGAGCGGCCGAUGUCAGAUUAGCUAGUUGGUGGGGUAAAAGCCUACCAAGGCGACGAUCUGUAGCUGGUCUGAGAGGACGACCAGCCACACUGGGACUGAGACACGGCCCAGACUCCUACGGGAGGCAGCAGUGGGGAAUUUUGGACAAUGGGGGCAACCCUGAUCCAGCCAUGCCGCGUGCGGGAAGAAGGCCUUCGGGUUGUAAACCGCUUUUGUCGGGGAAGAAACGGUCUGCGCUAAUACCGCGGACUAAUGACGGUACCCGAAGAAUAAGCACCGGCUAACUACGUGCCAGCCGCCGCUGUAAUAC